GCGUGCCAAGCCUUACAAGAACCUUCCCACCAUUGCAAAUUUGCAAGGUCACGGCUUUUGAUAAUUUUUAGCUGUGUGUUUUGUACUUUCAUCACUUCGACAUGUUAUGAUUUGAUGAUUGGAUAAUUACUUCGUAUGGGUUACUAACACAGGAUGGAGAAUCUGGCAAAGGAGCUGGGUGUAGUUAUAUCGGAAUUCAUAUAUUCCUGAUGGACCUGGUGGGUAUCAAGAGAAGUUUUAUUCAAUCCUGGAGACACUGGCUUUAAGGUGCCUCUAGUCGCUUCGGAUCGCAUAGGGAAGGAAGUGAUUGAAACUGAGCAUGGACAAAGUCAGAUCACUUUCUAUGGGAACUCCUUCAUUGCUGGUGAAAUUGUGUCUGAGGCUGAUGAUAAAACGGAAGCUGUUCUCGUGUCACAGUUCAGUCUUGAGAAGAUCAAGUCGAAGAGGCAAAGCUGGGGAGGUGUUCCGUGACAGCCGGUCAGAUUUGUACAAGGUGCUUCUCACAACGGACGGUAAUCUUUGAUAGAUUUUGAUGUUGAUGCAAACUAAUAAAUACAGCGCAAAAU